GUAGACCUGCAUGAUACACGCAAGUGUUAAUCUCACCGAAGUAAAAGUGUAUUAAAGCAAAGCACAAAGAACAUGGUUGAAACGUAUCGGUGAAUCUCAAAGUUCCAAAUAUUUUUACUAUACAUAUGAAAUUCGCAGUGAGGUUCUGUUUUUGCAAAUGCAAAACAAGCUCUUCGUAAGAGCAAAGGAUUGUUUACGCGAAAUUUUAAGUGCGCUUUUACCUUGUGUUUUUACUUUCAAAUGAGCACUUCCAUUUUUAGUUAACACCAAUUUGAACACAACCUAGCACCGUUCCAAAACCGUAGAGAUAAUUUUAGAUGUGUCCCUUUAAAGUGCCUUUUGCACACGGAGAAGAUAAAAUAAAUUCGCGAUCAAUAAUCACGAAAUGAAAAGAACGCGCGACAAAAGGAAGCUCAGGUGAAAAGGACGGAGCUCUUAUCAGCUGUUCCAUACAACGCACAUCCGUGCGGCUGUCAGCGGGAUGUCAGCGCGACUAGCCAGUCAGGCUUCAGCGAAAAUGACUCACUCCUCGGCGACGUCUCGUCCCUAUGGGCGGAAAAGCGAAACGAACGAGACUAAACGAGCGAAAUUUCGCGUUUGAUCGCGCACGCAGAACGGUACGACAUCGAGGAACCGCGGGGAGUUUUGCGUUGAUCGUCGUCCCCGUGCGAACCUACGGUUUGGAGCUGCGCUGCGUCGUCGCGAUUAACCCGCGACAGCACGUCGCGACGGGACGACGUCACGCAUAUAAUAUAUACGUGUAUACGCCUCUCGAACGCGCGCUCCGAUUUCCCCCUUUUCACGUGCACAACGUGCUACAAACUUCGGUUCACUUGUCGUCGCUCCUGAACUCCUUCCUCGCGGACCACCUUUUCCUCGUUGAUCGCGUUAAAUCGCUCGAUCUCGACCGAGAUUCUUCGGACUGUUUCUCUUUUCGUUUUUGUCGCACUUUCCAAAGUAACGUGAAAACUCAUAAGAGCCAUACAUUUCGCAUGCGUUUCCAGUUAAAUCUUCAAUCAAAUUUCGGGUUAACGAGCCUCGAAACGUUUCCCAUCAGAAACGUUGUCGAGACGUUUACGGAAAUAAUAACAAGAGCAAUCACCGCGUACGUGAGCGCAAUUUAUUUCGGGCAGUUCAUCACGACUAAACGAUUCAUGAGCGUGAGAGAGCCCGCGUAAAAACAUGCAACCAUAAAACGUGCAACAGCGGAACAUGCAAGAGAGUAAAUAGCGCGAGGUGGCUGAAAUUGGCUGAAAUUGCAGGCUACUUCUGACGUCACUGGUCGCAAUUUCGAUUCUCGAUUUCUGACUUCCGGUUCAGAGACUCGGAGAUUACAAAUCGAUAUGUGUGAUUAUCAGCGAGCUUCAAUACUGACGCUGCUGUAUAACAAUCAUUUAUCUCUCUGGAUAACGGAAACGCGACGACUGGGACACCAGGUCAGGAAUAACUGACCGGUCAACGGAGUUCGAUGCCGCAGUCACGCGAAAGCGUUCUCUAUAGCUAUCCCACGAGGCAGAGACCGCAAUUGACAAUUGACGUAAGGACACAUAGAUAAAAGGCGCCGGCUCGUUUGUUUAUCCAGCGUCAAUGCCGAGGCUACUCGCCGGGUCCUACAAUCCGCGGAAUUUCGAUUAAAUUCCACAGUUUAAUUUUAAACACGUCACUCCGGCUCGAAUACCAAUGUGAUUUCUUCUACAAAGCAAUAGACAGAACGCUGGGGAUCCAUGAAAUUUCCUAAUGCCUGCAGAAAAGAGAAAGUGGUACUGAAGAGGCAAUAGAUGAUUGGAUUAGCGGCAGAAUUGAGCGAUGACAGACUUUGUAUGAAGGUGGCGACUGCGAUAUUCGUCUGAGUCUUUGGCACAUGCCCAUAAACUUGAAGGAGAUCGAAGACUAUAUAUGGACUCCA